rnacentral:rRNA from 1 species
AUUGAACGCUGGCGGCAGGCCUAACACAUGCAAGUCGAGCGAGCGGAGGAAGGGUGAGUAAUGUCUGGGAAACUGCCUGAUGGAGGGGGAUAACUACUGGAAACGGUAGCUAAUACCGCAUCCCAUCAGAUGUGCCCAGAUGGGGUUAGCUAGUAGGUGGGGUAACGGCUCACCUAGGCGACGAUCCCUAGCUGGUCUGAGAGGAUGACCAGCCACACUGGAAAUGAGACACGGUCCAGACUCCUACGGGAGGCAGCAGUGGGGAAUAUUGCACAAUGGGCGCAAGCCUGAUGCAGCCAUGCAGCGUGUGUGAAGAAGGCCUACGGGUUGUAAAGCACGUUCAGCGGGGAGGCGUUACCCGCAGAAGAAGCACCGGCUAACUCCGUGCCAGCCGCCGCGGUAAUAC